rnacentral:rRNA from 1 species
UACGUAGGGGGCAAGCGUUGUCCGGAAUCAUUGGGCGUAAAGCGCGUGUAGGCGGCUCGGUAAGUCUGCUGUGAAAGUCCAGGGCUCAACCCUGGGAUGCCGGUGGAUACUGUCGAGCUCGAGUCCGGAAGAGGCGAGUGGAAUUCCUGGUGUAGCGGUGAAAUGCGCAGAUAUCAGGAGGAACACCGAUGGCGAAGGCAGCUCGCUGGGACGUGGCUGACGCUGAGACGCGAAAGCGUGGGGAGCAAACAGG